rnacentral:lncRNA from 1 species
GUCCCCCCGUGCCCCCCUCCCCAGAAUUCUUCAUCGACGGCCUGGGGGUGCUGCACGUGGGCUCGUGCGAGGACGUGGUGGUGGAUCACGCGUCCAAGCUGGCGCUGCCGUGGCGGCGCUCGGAGGGGGAGCGGCAGUACAACCGGUACCGGUACCCGGCCGCCCGCGACGACAGCGUGCGCCUCAAGCAGCGCCUCUUCUUCUUCAAGAACCGCUUCAAGUGCAUGGCCGGCGACUAGCGGCGACACCGGGGCACCGGGACACCGGGCGUGGUCACCCCGGAGCCACCGGGCGGGGACACUGGGCGUGGUCACCAGGCGGGGACACCGGGGCCAUCCCGGGGCUACCGGUGGGGACACCCUGAGGCCACCGGGGUUACCGGGCAUGGUCACCAGGCAGGGCCGCCAGCCCCGGCCACUGCUGACCAGCCCUGGGUGCCACCCCCGGGGAGGUGACAAGGAGGUGGCACCAGGUCGCCACCCCCAGGGGGGUCACGGGACACGCCAAGGACAUCGCUGACCCCCGGCCACCAGUCCUGGCCAACCCUGGGUGCCACCGGGCUGCUGGCACUGCGGUGGUGCCACCCCCAGAGCGGUGACAGGGGGGUGGCACAGGGUCACCACCCACAGGGGGGUCAUGGGACACGCCAAGGACGUCACUGACCCCCGGCCACCAGCGUGGGCCACAUCUGGGGUCACUGCUGCUGGCCAUGCCUGCCGUGUCCCCAGAGCUACCCCCAUGGCUACCAAGCCCAAUGGGCCACCUCCUGUGGGCCACCCCUGGGGUGUCCCCAGAGCCACAAGCGUGGCUACUCCAUGGUCACCCCCAGGGCCACCACUGCAAUGUCCCCAGGGCCACAAGCGAGGGCCACUGGCCACAUCUGGGUCACCCCCAGGGCCACCAAGCCUGGGGCACCCCUGGGGUGGCUCUGCCCCCUUUGGCCACCCCACGGGCCACCACCCCCAGCCCCGGCUGCCCUCGGGGUGCCCACAGGGCCACUGGGUGACACGGGGUGGCCACUGCCACCAUGGGCCUCCUCAAGGGUCACCCCCCAUGGGCCACCACCUGUGGGAC